CAACAACAACAACAACAACAACAACAGCCAAGACACGACACCAAACGUGAUGAACAAAACGGAGCGAUUUCUCCUCCACAAAUAAUCUUUUUGGAAAAACUGAACAUUUGCUAUCUAACUGAGAGUCUCCUCAUUGAAAACAUCCGAAGUUCUUCAAAGAUUAGUUUAUGAGGGCAGAGUGAGUCUGAUCACCCAGGAGCUGGAGAGAGGCAACGUGUGUUUGAGGCUGAACGACAUCAGGGAGUCAAGAUCAUGGAUUCUACACACUGUACGUCAGCUCAUCCGUGGAGAACAGCAGGAGGCGGCAAUGGUGGAUUUAUCGGUCCAUGAUGGUGCUCUAUAACGACAGUAUACUGUUUAUAAACACCUAAACACUAUGACAUUCAAUUGGAUAAUAUGUCAGAUGUUGACUUGAAGGUAAUAAUGAAUACAUUUUGUUUUACAUGAU